UGGGGAAUAUUGCACAAUGGGCGCAAGCCUGAUGCAGCCAUGCCGCGUGUAUGAAGAAGGCCUUCGGGUUGUAAAGUACUUUCAGCGGGGAGGAAGGUGUUGUGGUUAAUAACCACAGCAAUUGACGUUACCCGCAGAAGAAGCACCGGCUAACUCCGUGCCAGCAGCCGCGGUAAUACGGAGGGUGCAAGCGUUAAUCGGAAUUACUGGGCGUAAAGCGCACGCAGGCGGUCUGUCAAGUCGGAUGUGAAAUCCCCGGGCUCAACCUGGGAACUGCAUCCGAAACUGGCAGGCUUGAGUCUUGUAGAGGGGGGUAGAAUUCCAGGUGUAGCGGUGAAAUGCGUAGAGAUCUGGAGGAGUACCGGUGGCGAAGGCGGCCCCCUGGACAAAGACUGACGCUCAGGUGCGAAAGCGUGGGGAGCAAACA
rnacentral:rRNA from 1 species